AAGGCAAACCGGUCUAUCGCUGCCCCAAUUCGUUGGGGGGGAGGAAAGUCCGGGCAGUAUAGAGCACCGUACUUCCUAACGGGAAGGUAUCGAUUUCGGUCGGUAACAGAAAGUGCCACAGAAAGGAAAACUACUCCCGAUUUUUCGGGAGAAAAGGUGAAAAGGUGGGGUAAGAGCCUACCGCUCAGGCAGCAAUGUGUGAGGCAAGGUAAACCUUACGGACUGAAAGACCAAAUAUACCGGGGUUUGAGUGUAAUCGCAAGAUUGCAUUCAUUGAGGGUUGCUCGCCUGACUCGGAGGGUAGGUCGAUUGACCCCACGCGUGAGUUUGGGGCUAGAUAAAUGAUAGACAUCUUAACUUCGGUUGAGAUACAGAACCCGGCUUACAGGUUUGCCUUUUAU
rnacentral:RNase_P_RNA from 1 species